CUUCAGUGCUCUGAGAGUGUUUAUAGUGCUGUGAGUUUAACACUUCAUGACUGAGAGCAGAACAGAACACAAUCUUCAUCAUCACACAAGACAAAAGAACAACAAUGAACACAAUCACCUUCUUCAUCUGGACUCUCACUCUGUUUAUUCAAGAAUCCAGAGGAGUGACUCUGACUCAACCUGAAGUUAAAACUGUCCAACAGGGUCAAACAGCUUCAAUAGAGUGUCAUAUAGAUGUAGGAAUAUACAGCAACUACUUAGCCUGGUAUCAGCAGAAACCUGGAGAAGCUCCUAAACUCCUGAUUUAUUCCAUAAACACCCUCCAGUCAGGAACUCCAUCUAGAUUCAGUGGCAGUGGAUCUGGCAGUGAUUUCACUCUGACCAUCAGUGGAGUCCAGACUGAAGAUACAGGAGAUUAUUACUGUAAGAGUUGGCAGUAUCCAAACAGUAUCUGGGUGUUCACACAGUGAUAAAGAGUGGUACAAAAACCUUGGUCAGUCAGACGUCACAGUGAUGCACUGAUACAGCUGAGAGAUACUGCAGCUGCUGAUGGACAAUCACAAACAACACAAUGACAAUGUUUAGCAAAGUUUCAAAAGACUUAGAGUAAAUAUAUGUGGCAGGAGGGGUGAUUUUCUUACACC